AGGAAUCCAACCAGGGUUACAGUCCGGUAGGGCCCGGGCAGAGUUAUGGAACACAGCGAGAAAGGAGGGAGAGAAUGAGAGGACAUGUCACGGCAACCAAAACACAGGUAGAAACCAUGGCCAUUAUUACAUAGCAUUUAUCUGCAACACCUCUUUUAAUUAUUUUUUUUAAGUAAAAAAAUGUAAUGACCAAGUAUACUGGGCUUAAAGGAAGAGCUAUAGUUGAAGUAUUCUGCUAUCAGGUGAGGACAGGUGUGUGUUGAGGUAAUCUGCUAUUAUCAGGUGAGGACAGGUGUGUGUAGAGGUAUUAUGUUAUGAGGUGAGAACAGGUGUGUGUUGAGGAAUUCUGUAAUGAGGUGAGGACAGGUGUGUGUGUGUUGAGGAAUUCUGUAAUGAGGUGAGGACAGGUGUGUCUUGAGGUAUUCUGUAAUGAGGUGAGGACAGGUGUGUGUUGAGGUAUUCUGUAAUGAGGUGAGGACAGGUGUGUGUUGAGGUAUUCUGUAAUGAGGUGAGGACAGGUGUGUGUUGAGGUAUUCUGUAAUGAGGUGAGGACAGGUGUGUGUUGAGGUAUUCUGUAAUGAGGUGAGGACAGGUGUGUGUUGAGGUAUUCUGUAAUGAGGUGAGGACAGGUGUGUGUUGAGGUAUUCUGUAAUGAGGUGAGGACAGGUGUGUCUUGAGGUAUUCUGUAAUGAGGUGAGGACAGGUGUGUGUUGAGGUAUUCUGUAAUGAGGUGAGGACAGGUGUGUGUUGAGGUAUUCUGUUAUGAGGUGAGGACAGGUGUGUGUGUGUGUUGAGGUAUUCUGUUAUGAGGUGAGGACUGGUGUGUGUGUGUGUGUUGAGGUAUUCUGUUAUGAGGUGAGGACUGGUGUGUGUGUGUGUGUUGAGGUAUUCUGUUAUGAGGUGAGGACUGGUGUGUGUUGAGGUAUUCUGUAAUGAGGUGAGGACUGGUGUGUGUGUGUUGAGGUAUUCUGUAAUGAGGUGAGGACUGGUGUGUGUGUGUGUGUUGAGGUAUUCUGUUAUGAGGUGAGGACUGGUGUGUGUUGAGGUAUUCUGUAAUGAGGUGAGGACUGGUGUGUGUGUGUUGAGGUAUUCUGUAAUGAGGUGAGGACUGGUGUGUGUGUGUGUGUGUUGAGGUAUUUUGCAAUGAGGUGAGGACAGGUGUAUGUUGAGGUAUUCUGUAAUGAGGUGAGGACAGGUGUGUGUUGAGGUAUUCUGCUAUCAGGUGAGGACAGGUGUGUGUGUGUGUUGAGGUAUUCUGUAAUGAGGUGAGGACAGGUGUGUGUUGAGGUAUUCUGCUAUCAGGUGAGGACAGGUGUGUGUUGAGGUAUUUUGUAAUGAGGUGAGGACUGGUGUGUGUGUGUGUUGAGGUAUUCUGCUAUCAGGUGAGGACUGGUGUGUGUGUGUGUGUGUGUUGAGGUAUUCUGCUAUCAGGUGAGGACUGGUGUGUGUGUGUGUGUGUGUUGAGGUAUUCUGAUAUCAGGUGAGGACUGGUGUGUGUUGAGGUAUUCUGUAAUGAGGUGAGGACAGGUGUGUGUUGAGGUAUUCUGUAAUGAGGUGAGGACUGGUGUGUGUGUGUUGAGGUAUUCUGCUAUCAGGCGAGGACAGGUGUGUGUGUUGAGGUAUUCUGCUAUCAGGCGAGGACAGGUGUGUGUGUGUGUUGAGGUAUUCUGCUAUCAGGUGAGGACAGGUGUGUGUGUUGAGGUAUUCUGCUAUCAGGCGAGGACAGGUGUGUGUGUUGAGGUAUUCUGCUAUCAGGUGAGGACAGGUGUGUGUGUUGAGGUAUUCUGCUAUCAGGUGAGGACAGGUGUGUGUGUUGAGGUAUUCUGCUAUCAGGUGAGGACAGGUGUGUGUGUUGAGGUAUUCUGCUAUCAGGUGAGGACAGGUGUGUGUGUUGAGGUAUUCUGCUAUCAGGUGAGGACAGGUGUUGAGGUAUUCUGGAGCCAUAAACAACAGAACCUUUUGUGACAACAGUCAUUGUCAUGCUAUACCAUCAUGGCGAAAUGUAAAAUGACUCACUGUGCUCAAUGUCAGAAGUAGACAAUACAUGUUCACACUACAAUAAUAUACUAUCUAGAUGGAUGUUUAAAUGACUGCUGGCUCUGUUGUGUUGCUGCCCUGGUGCAGUAGAAAAGAGGCUGUGUUCAUAGUGUACAUUAAGUUACGGCCCUAGAAAAUCCCUUUAAUUUCUUGGCCUGAUUCCAUCUAGUUUUUCUCCAAAUUCUGUUUCUUUGUUUAGUUUUUCCAGAUUUCCAUUUUUCAGGUUUUCACUCUCAAAAUCACACUUUUUAGAAUAGAAAAACAACCAAAUUUGAUGUUUUAAGUUCACAACCAUGCUUAAACCACAUCAGGAGACCCCUUUUGAGAUCUGGGAUUUUUUUUUUUAACUCAACUGCGCACCAGCCAGAGACCGAAUUUGAAAAACAAAAUGGCCACCGGAUUGAGGCAAAUAAUCAUGAUAUUCUGCAAAGUAGGCAUAGGUUACAUUGUUAUUAACAUUGAAUUGAGAAGGUUUUUGGGAAAGUCAUUACAUUAGCAUCAUCGCUAACAGCUACUACAAAAGUGGUAGACAAACGCGCACACAGACAUUCCCGUGCUGUUGACUCUUCAUGUUUUACGAUAAUAUGGGGAAAAUAAAUUACUUUUCUAAUAAAUGCAAUACAUUUAGUUGAUGCAUUUUUUAAAUAUUGUUGAAUUCCAUUUUAAUUGUCUGGAUUCCGUGAUUGCAUCCGCAUUCUCCGCAGCAUGGAUUUUAUAGGGCCCUGCUAAGUUUAAAACAGACUAGUGAAUGAGAGAUAAAGACAGACAGACAGGAGAAGAGAGAGAAACAGAAACAGCCCCGGA